AUAUCAAUAAGCGGAGGAAAAGAAACCAACCGGGAUUGCCUCAGUAACGGCGAGUGAAGCGGCAAGAGCUCAAAUUUGAAAUCUGGCCCCUCCGGGGUCCGAGUUGUAAUUUGCAGAGGAUGCUUCGGGGUGCGGCCCCUGUCUAAGUGCCCUGGAACGGGCCGUCAUAGAGGGUGAGAAUCCCGUCUGGGAUGGGGUGUCCGCGCCCGUGUGAAGCUCCUUCGACGAGUCGAGUUGUUUGGGAAUGGAGCCGUAAUUACGAGGUAAAUUUCUUGUAAAGCUAAAUAAUGGCGAGAGACCGAUAGCGCACAAGUA
rnacentral:rRNA from 1 species